UCUUUGCUCAUGAUGGCACUAAAUAUAAGGUUGAAAUUUUUUAUGUGCAAAAUGAUAUAUAUAUAUAUAUAUAUAUCAAAUUUUUUGUUAAAUUUUUAAAAAAUAUAAAAAUAAUAUUUUUUUUCUUAUGUGCACGUUUUUUGAAGUGUACAAAAAAAUCGAGUCAAAGAAAUUUAGUUUACUAUUUCUUUUGAAAACUUAAAAAAUCAAAAAAAUUUGGAGAGUAG
rnacentral:lncRNA from 1 species